rnacentral:tRNA from 1 species
UCUUCGAUAGCUAAAAUAUUAUAGCGUGGUCUUGAAGCGGCUAAGGUGAUGUAAUUUCUCGGGGAA